CGGACGGGUGAGUAACGCGUGAGAAUCUACCUUCAGGUCGGGGACAACCACUGGAAACGGUGGCUAAUACCGGAUGUGCCGAGAGGUGAAAGGCUUGCUGCCUGAAGAAGAGCUUGCGUCUGAUUAGCUAGUUGGUGGUGUAAGAGACUACCAAGGCGACGAUCAGUAGCUGGUCUGAGAGGAUGAUCAGCCACACUGGGACUGAGACACGGCCCAGACUCCUACGGGAGGCAGCAGUGGGGAAUUUUCCGCAAUGGGCGAAAGCCUGACGGAGCAAUACCGCGUGAGGGAGGAAGGCUCUUGGGUUGUAAACCUCUUUUCUCAGGGAAGAACAGAAUGACGGUACCUGAGGAAUAAGCAUCGGCUAACUCCGUGCCAGCAGCCGCGGUAAUACGGAGGAUGCAAGCGUUAUCCGGAAUGAUUGGGCGUAAAGGGUCCGCAGGUGGCAUUGAAAGUCUGCUGUUAAAGAGUCUAGCUCAACUAGAUAAGAGCAGUGGAAACUACAAAGCUAGAGUGUGGUCGGGGCAGAGGGAAUUCCUGGUGUAGCGGUGAAAUGCGUAGAUAUCAGGAAGAACACCAGUGGCGAAGGCGCUCUGCUAGGCCGAGACUGACACUGAGGGACGAAAGCUAGGGGAGCGAAUGGGAUUAGAUACCCCAGUAGUC
rnacentral:rRNA from 1 species